GAUGAACGCUGGCGGCGUGCCUAAUACAUGCAAGUCGAGCGAACAGACGAGGAGCUUGCUCCUCUGACGUUAGCGGCGGACGGGUGAGAACACGUGGGUAACCUACCUAUAAGACUGGGAUAACUUCGGGAAACCGGAGCUAAUACCGGAUAAUAUAUUGAACCGCAUGGUUCAAUAGUGAAAGACGGUUUUGCUGUCACUUAUAGCUGGAUCCGCGCCGCAUUAGCUAGUUGGUAAGGUAACGGCUUACCAAGGCAACGAUGCGUAGCCGACCUGAGAGGGUGAUCGGCCACACUGGAACUGAGACACGGUCCAGACUCCUACGGGAGGCAGCAGUAGGGAAUCUUCCGCAAUGGGCGAAAGCCUGACGGAGCAACGCCGCGUGAGUGAUGAAGGUCUUCGGAUCGUAAAACUCUGUUAUUAGGGAAGAACAAAUGUGUAAGUAACUAUGCACGUCUUGACGGUACCUAAUCAGAAAGCCACGGCUAACUACGUG
rnacentral:rRNA from 1 species